UACAGAGGGUGCGAGCGUUAAUCGGAAUUACUGGGCGUAAAGCGUGCGCAGACGGUCAUGUAAGUCGGGUGUGAAAGCCCCGGGCUCAACCUGGGAAUUGCAUUCGAGACUGUGUGGCUAGGGUGCGGAAGAGGGAAGCGGAAUUUCUGGUGUAGCGGUGAAAUGCGUAGAUAUCGGAAGGAACACCAGUGGCGAAAGCGGCUUCCUGGUCCAGCACCGACGUUCAGGCACGAAAGCGUGGGGAGCAAACAGG
rnacentral:rRNA from 1 species